rnacentral:lncRNA from 1 species
AGAGGGUGGCCGGGCGGCCAGCGUCUGAUGUCAGCCUGGAGCUGGGCCAGGGAGUGCAGGGCGGGCGGCGCUGGGAGCGAGGGAGGAAGGGUGCGGGGCCGGGCCGGGCUGGGUGGGCGCCCGCGGCAGGCGUAGGGGCUGCGCUCGGCGCUCCCGGCUGCGCGCUCGGCCUCGGCGGCGGCCCGGGCGCCCGUGACUCAGGGUGCGUCACCGGAGCAGAUGCCCGGGGCGGUUGGAGGCUCCCGGGCUCCCGCUGACUCAUCAGAAAGGCCUGCCGCGCGGCCCGGGGGGCGGGGGAACGUGGGGGACCGCGGGGAGCUGCCGGGCAGGCGGCAGCCGAGGUCGUUUGAGGCGCGCAGAGCCGGAAAACCCCACGGAGACGGCUGGGCGGGGGCGGGGCGAUCGGCACUGACCAGGUCACCUGCAGCGCGGGCUGACGGCGGGCGACUGAAGGAGGGAGCAAGUCUCCCACCCCCAGCAGCCGGCGGCCGCUUCCGAAGUCUGCCCCCUUCCACUGCGGAGCGGCGCCCCGCGGGCCCCCAGCCAGCGCGCCCGAGGCGCCCCCGCCCCGUGUCGCUCGCGCUGCGUUAUUGGGAGAAGGCGGUUCCUGAGCACCAGCACGGGCCUCGGUGACACCGGAGGUCGCUGGGGUCUUCCCCUUCCCCUUAAGACUCUGGGUCUGUCUGUGGGAAGAGCUUUCAUUCCCCACCCCACUCUAUGCCGACCCUCUCCGGGGGAGGCUCCACUGGCACUGUAGACACCACGUGCUGGGUAAAAAGGCCUGGUCCCAGCGCUUCCCUGUCACUGACUGCUAACCACAAGGCGCCGUGGCACUCAGGAAAUGCGGCAGGGGGGCUGGAGAACUAUCAGGAAGGGGUGUGGGCAGAGAAGAGGCUUCCACCCUGUCUUGGAACACGGACACAGUCCAUGGCAUUCAAAAGAGGUGGGAGGCUCCUCUGUGCACGUGCCUUCCGCCCCCGGGACAGGUGGAGGAGGGGAUUUGACUGGUCCUCACCCUCUGCAUUUAUAGUCUGGGCACACCUUGGGCAGUGCCGCAGGAGGGCGCUGUGGAGUACAGGCACAUGCAGAAGGUGUGGCGAGGGCUUCCUGGUGGAGCUGGCAGUAGGGCAGGGACCUUGAAAAGGAAUGAUUUGAACAGAUCGGAAAAGACAUUCCAGACAGAAACAAAUGCCUGAAACCCAAACCGAGAAGCAGGAAAGAGCAGACUGCGUUCUCGGAAUGGCAGGGAGUCCAGUUUGACUGGAAGACCUGAGGCUCAGAGGCGCAUCACGGCCCAGAUGCAGACCACAGAGGCAGGCACAGUGGCCCAGGAGGACCGAGGACCUGGAGUCACGGGGUUCCGCCCGCUGCCCCUGGGGAACCGAGUCAUGCCAGUUCCCAGACAGAUGAAUUCCUUCCAAGAAUUCCACAGUCCUGCUCAAUCCUAGCCGCCAAGCCUCCUGGCCUUGGAUGGCUGCUGUCUAAUGCAGAUCCUCUUUCAUCCAGAUUUCAAAUAUUUUUCCUAUUCUGUCCUUUGAUCACUAACGUUUAUGUUUAUCUACAUCAGCAUCCCUCAAUCCUGACGGCACUCUGAAAUUAUCUAGGGGUGCUUUAAAAAAGAAAAAUGUUGAUGCAUGGCCCUCCUCCAGGAAAUCUGAUUUUAUUGGUCUGGGGUGGGGCCCAGGCAUCAGCAGACUUUUAAUGAGCAGUUAGAGAGGAGAACCACUGAUGGAGAUGGUCACCAGGGAGUGUCCAGGUCAGACCGCCACAGAAGAGUGCAGCCUCCUGGCCUUCAGACCCAACUGGGACAAACCCUGAGAACAGCCUUGGCAGACCUCCAGGGGCAGCUGGACUCCCUGAGGCUGGAUGUUGCAGCCUCUCCCAGGCAUCCACUCUGCAGCUGAGGCCAAAGUUUCCAACGGGAAGGGAGGGAGAGUCUCCGAGUCUGGGCCUUGCCACUCCUCACUCAGCAUCUGACCAUCCCCACCUCCUGGAUCUACAGGGUUCAUAGAGGAGGACCCAGAAGAGGGAAAGUCAGGCUGAGGAACUUGGCCUCCCUGCUGCAAGGGAAAUGACAUCGGUUACCAAGGAGGUGACCAGCUAUCCUUUUCCAAGACUGAAAAGCAGAAAUACGGCCCUGAGGCUAGAGGGUCUAAGAGAACAAUAGGAAGAAUUUCCUGACAAAGGACAAUGUUGCCUAAAGGACUCAGGAAGCUCUGUGAAAACAGGAGACUCCCGAGCAGAGCACCAGACCCUUCUCCACCAGGCAGUGUUUUUCCCAUAUGACAGGUGAGAAAACUGAGGCUGAGAGACAUGUAAUAACUUGCUGAAGCAGCAACCAGCACACCAUAUAGCUGAAAUCUGUAGAUCAGCAGUUAAAAGUGGUAGGGCAAGUCCUCUCUGACUUUCAGCGCUAAGAGCCUAGGAUUCUGUGUUUUUCUGCUUAAGCCUGGGAAUCAGAGUCCUACAAAAGCCGCGCCUAAUCCUGGGGGUGUGGGCUUUAAACCCAGAGAGAAAGCAUGUUAUUGGAAUACUCCUGCACUUUUCUCCCUUUGAAUCCCACCACGGAAAGAAAAUUCUGUGACGUGUACCCAGUAUUUAUUGGAGGGUAUUUCCUAGCAAGAAAAUGAGGGCGAUUGACCAGGCACGGUGGCUCACGCCUGUAAUCCCAGCACUUUGGGAGGUCAAGGUGAGUGGAUCACAUGAGGUCAGGAGUUCGAGACCAGCCUGACCAACAUGGAGAAACCCCGUCUCUACUAAAAAUACAAAAUUAGCCGGGCGUGGGGUGGCGCAUGCCUGUAAUUCCAGCUACUCCUGAGGCUGUGGCAGCAGAAUCGCUUGAACCCGGGAGACAGAGGUUGCAGUGAGUUGAGAUCAAGCCAUCGCACUCCAGCCUGGGCAACAGAGUGAGACUCUGUCAAAAAAGAAAGUGUGGUACAUCUAUACUAAUGGAGUACUAUUUAGCCGUCAAAGAAAAAAAAGAAAAGAAAAAGAAAGAGAAAGAAAGAAAGAAGGAAAGAAAGAAAGAAAAAGAAAAUGAAGGCGAUUGUCAACAGCCUCUGGAAAUACAGAGCAGGGUCCAGAAAUGGCCCCUUCUUAGAUGGCGGGCUGGACAGUGCUGCUCCUUCUUAGCCACUGGCGGCAGAAAGACAAAGCCUGGUAAUUGUUCUUGGGAUUCUCCCUGUCACCUCUCCUUGUAGGUCACAAGCUUCCUGAUGCGACAGCCCGUGGGACUACUAGAAGGAAAGAUACUCCUUUUCCCAUUUUACAGAUCAGGAAACUGAGACUGGACAGAAACACCACCAGGAUUGAACUGUGAAUGGAUCUGACUCCAACCCACAAAUUCUUCACCUGGUCUCGAAAAGAGGCCCUGGCAACCUACUGCGCACCAGAGGGGAACCCGCCCGCCGUCCCAGGCCGGGCUCUCCCUGCUGCGGAGCGGCCCGGGCGCGGCGGGACAGGGAACGGAAGGAACGGGCUUGGCGCGCACUCGCCGAGGCCCAGGCAGGAUUCGAGCGCCAGGGAGGCGCCCAUUUCCCUUCCCCCGCGCCUGGGAACGCGGUGCUGGGGGCGGGGCCCGACCGCUGCCCCCUCCAAACGCCUCGACCGCCAGGUGCCCCGAAGCCCGGCCUCCCCUCCCACCCCCGCGCCUGUUCCCGGCGCAGCCCGAGCCGUGGCAGUCACGUCUCCCCAUCCGGCCCCAAAAAGCCACAGGGGAACUGCCUCCUACAGAUAAAAAGAUCCCUGCUUUGAGCCUGAAUGAAUCAGCCAAGGCCCCCUUUCUUCCAACCAACCAACCCUAACCAG